GAUGAACGCUAGCUACAGGCUUAACACAUGCAAGUCGAGGGGUAACGAGAGGAAAGCUUGCUUUCCUUGUCGACGACCGGCGCACGGGUGAGUAACGCGUAUCCAGCCUGCCCCCAACUAGGGAAUAACCUUGCGAAAGUAAGACUAAUACCCUAUAAUUUCCUCAGAUGCCAUCUGACGAGGAAUAAAGAUUUAUCGGUUGUGGAUGGGGAUGCGUCUGAUUAGCUUGUUGGCGGGGUAACGGCCCACCAAGGCAACGAUCAGUAGGGGUUCUGAGAGGAAGGUACCCCACAUUGGAACGGAGACACGGUCCAAACUCCUACGGGAGGCAGCAGUGAGGAAUAUUGGUCAAUGGGCGGAAGCCUGAACCAGCCAAGUAGCGUGCAGGAUGACGGCCCUAUGGGUUGUAAACUGCUUUUAUACAGGAAUAAAGUUAGCCACGUGUGGUUAUUUGUAGGUACUGUAUGAAUAAGGACCGGCUAAUUCCGUGCCAGCAGCCGCGGUAA
rnacentral:rRNA from 1 species